UCUUUUAGAUGAGUAAAGAAAGUAGUUUCUUUAAAUGGAAACUACUGCUGGUGAAGAUGCUGUGAA
rnacentral:pre_miRNA from 1 species